rnacentral:tRNA from 1 species
GCCUGAUUGGCUCAGUUGGUAGAGCAUCCGACUCUUGAUCGGGGGGUUGCUAAGUUCAAACCCUACACUGGGUG